UCGGGAAUAUUGCGCAAUGGAGGAAACUCUGACGCAGUGACGCCGCGUGCAGGAAGAAGGUUUUCGGAUUGUAAACUGCUUUAGACAGGGAAGAAAGAAAUGACAGUACCUGUAGAAUAAGCUCCGGCUAACUACGUGCCAGCAGCCGCGGUAAUACGUAGGGAGCAAGCGUUAUCCGGAUUUAUUGGGUGUAAAGGGUGCGUAGACGGGAAGUCAAGUUAGUUGUGAAAUCCCUCGGCUCAACUGAGGAACUGCAACUAAAACUAACUUUCUUGAGUGCUGGAGAGGAAAGUGGAAUUCCUAGUGUAGCGGUGAAAUGCGUAGAUAUUAGGAGGAACACCAGUGGCGAAGGCGACUUUCUGGACAGUAACUGACGUUGAGGCACGAAAGUGUGGGGAGCAAACA
rnacentral:rRNA from 1 species